rnacentral:lncRNA from 1 species
UUUAUAAAACAUACAACUCCAUUCUAUUUAUUCUUUAAUUAUUAUGCCACUUCGACAUUUUUGCCUAUGAAACCGUGCUAACCACCAAGCAUUGAGAGUACCAUAAAAGAAGGUACAUGGUUAUAAUUAAUCAAUGUGGGGCAUGCGCUGGCUUAAAUUUUUCUUACCCAAAAUCGUCCGUGCUGCUUGGGGGAAAAUAUGUGUGCAGGUUCCUUUUACGCCAUCGCCUUUCAUUCCGGAUUUACAUGGACAUGCAUAUCCUCCCAACGUGUUUUUGCAGAUCCCGUCACUGGAGCAAGGAUAUAAAUCGCGAAGCUUACACUCGUCAAUGUCUGAAAAAAAACAUAAAGUUAUGAAAUUAAGGAGUUCCUAUAUAAGCAGUAAGGUGUAAAAGAGAGAGUCUGGAUUUGUAAAUUAAAAACUUUAAUUUGACCUUGGCAUCCAUUGGCGAUGUAAGGGUUCCCAUCGUAAUGGUCCCAACACUUGCAGACAUAACCCAGGCCACUGGUCGCGUUUGAACAUGAGCUGUUGCCACUGACACAAGCAUAGUCCGGAGGUGGAUGCUGGCCUUUCUCUGGACAUGAACCAUUCCUGAUGGAGAAAUCGAUUACCAAGGGGACGCCCCUUGGGAAUUUCUUGGGUAUCUCCUCGUAACCGUACAUGUCCGGCGUGGUGAAGUUAUACCAUGUGCUCUCCACCACCAUGGCGUAGGAGCAUGGAUUGGUCACAAACAAGGUGUUUGGUUCAUCGAAACUGAUCCACAAUGCAAACCUGGUGAGUGCAACCGCUUCGGGCAAGGCAGCCCGACAGCAGCCCCGCCCCGAGCACGACCCGUUGGUCGCGAACUUGAGGAACUGCGGCAUGCGCAUGAGGUAUGAAAGGCAGGAAAUAGUGAGUUCAUUCGAUGAAUAUCCAUGCGCCGACACCGCGUCUGACGCCAACGCUGACCACAAGUAGCUAUUCAUCUUAGGCUGGACUCUCCAGCCUACGCCGAUGAGAACAUUGCGUGUCACCGACACGACAAACGGGCUCAUCUUUUCUCCCAACCGCAUCCGUAGAGAUUUGCUUAAGGAGUCGGUAUGGUUUGCGCUGCAGCGAGAUGAGAUUGCGGCGUAUGCGCGCGCCUCACCCUUUGCAACUGAUAUAUCGAUGAGCUCCAAGGCCGUAUCUUCCCGUGUUCUAUUCCAAACACGAUUACGCUGGCACAACCCUUUCUGCAUUAAUUUACGGCCCAAUACCAGAACACAACAUUAAUUUCCUUCUCAAAAGGAAGAAACAUCAAUUAAUUAGUUACUCUUACCACGCAUUCCAGUAAGUACUUACUACUUGGCAUGCCAAACAUACCAUACCUGCGCCCUGAAGUAAAUCUCAUUAAUCCGCUGGAAUACUCCGUCGUAGGCAAGGUAGGCGCGAUGGGGAUAGAAGGAGUCGUUGCAGGUGACCUGGAAGCCCUCGCGGAAGCAGCCAGGCUUCAUGCCGAAUGGGUAGGGAAUGCUUAUAUUGCCGCACUUGUCAGGGCAACCCGGAAGUGUGAUUGGCUGCUGCUCAUCUUGCUCAGAAGCAACAGCCUCCAGGAUCAUGUGAGAUGCUGUUGAAAGGAGGACGAGCAGGAGUAGGAUUGUGCUCAGGGGCUGGGAAUGGAAUUCAGAGGGCAUGGUCAUGGUGUGUGUUUUUGCGCUCCCUUGGAAGCUAACUUAGGUCUAUGAUAUGGAUGCAAAGCUUAUUAUGCUCUGUUGUGGUUUACUGAGUCGUCUACACUUAUAUAUUAGUGUUGAUGGUUCUACUAUAUUCCCAUCAUCAUUCUUUGGUAGUACCAAAGUUUUAGAUAGCCGAUUAUAGCUCUGCUAUAGUUGUUUGACCAUGGUGCCACUAAAUGCCUAGCUAUAAGAUUUAUGUACAGGUGUCCAAUAAAAUUAUAAAAUAGCCGGCUGUAGCCUUAAUUACUACUCCCUCCGUUCCAAAUUACUCGUCGCUGAAAUGGAUGUAUUUAGAACUAAAAUACAUCUAGAUACAUCCGUACGUGCGACAAGUAAUUCGGAAUGGAGGGAGUAUAUCUAUUUUGGAAGACCGCCGCUAUUUACCAUAACCUGCUUUUUAAAACAAUCGAUAGUACUAGUACUAAUCCUCAUAUUCUCUCUCUUUUCACUAUAAGAUGCUUGUUUGUUUGAAAUGGUAGUUCCACAAGCUACAAAAGAAUGCACUUACCAUUGCAAGGAAAGAAAGGUGACACCAUUCCUAAAAGAAAAGGCUGGAACACGUACCAUUGCAAGGUAAUUGCCACCUUUAAUAAAAGUACUCCGACUCUCUACUUUAGUAAUGCAUCUUUGUACGAUUUGAUUAUGUCGGCCACCAUUUGAUCGAGGAACACACACGAUCGAUUGAGGGGAAUUAUUGUUUAUCAGCUAGCUUGCUCCACACAUUUCUGGCAAGUGCUAACUAGUCAAGCGGUGAUGAUUGGAACGUGGCUCGCCCUAGUAAGAUAACAAAGAUUGCACGACCUUCGUUUUGUUUUCUAUAAGAGGUGGGCCAUGAUCAUAAUAGAAGCAUCUUCGCCCUUUUAGAUUUUGAUAUGUAAGUUACCAUGUGGUGAUGACAAUAGCCGCAUAGGGUAUCUAUAGGAGCUUAGCAUGAUGAUGUUUGCUCGGCCUGAAUGAUGAACAGGGAAUAAUGUUGGGUCUGUCCUCCAUGAUUUAGUUUUCAUACAAUGCAGUCAAGAUAAUUUGCAGAUGCUUUGGUCUUUCUUUUAGAUAAUGGAAGAUUUUACUAACACGGUCUCUAUAUCAUAAGAUGCAUACAACCUAACUUAUUACAUAACUUUUAACACACAAGAAAAAACUUACUACGUCACCUAGUACAAGGUCCCCAAACAUCAUAUAUUACACUGUCCGGGCAUACUGAGAGCUAUACACAUUGUUAGCUAAACUUAUUGGUACACCCAUCUUUCAUCUCCCUCUCCGUCUUUAAUCAUGCUUACUUAUUUGUACCGUAGACGAUUCAGCUAUACCCAUCGUCAUUCCUUGCUACGUACUCCAGUAUCACCUUUCAUCUUCUCUCACUUUCUUUAAUCAUCGCUCGACUGAGCGUGGCAGCAAAAAAGGAUAGUAGAUCUUCUCUCCUUUCUUUAAUCAUCACUAGACUGGGUAGUGACAGCAAGCAGGGAGAUAGUGGGCAUUGGAGCCAUGCGAGCUGCUGCGCCAGUGGCCUCAAGCACGGCCACACCGUGAGAUAGCCUAGCAUCAACUUUACAAAUGGCCUGAUGUAAACGUCGGCUUAGUAUCGUGUCCAAAGCGUCAGCAGUAUAGCAAUGCUCUUUUCUUUACUAGUCCGUGACGUGACCACUAUCUAUAUCCAUUAAUCAAAGUAUCAAACAACUAUGUAAUUCGUUUUAUGGGGAACAAGCAUUAAACUAAAAGUAAAGUGCAUCGCUCGGUGUAUUGUGCAGGGCGCGGUUCAGAAAUCUUUGAGGGUAGAUGCUGCCAAGUGCAGUGGCGGGUCAAGACAUUGAGUAUCAUUGCGUACAAAACUAGGAGAGCUCUGAAUAAUAGAGACAACUUUGUUGUACAUGAGUUUACUCAAAACUAUGCCCUUGUAUUCUGAAGAAAAUCAACCAAAAUAUGUUCGUGGAUCGAGCUGGCAUGAUCAAAUAGUACAAAGACGUCUAUUUUCAAAAUGUUGUUAGAAAGAUCAGUUUGUAACAGAAAAUAACAUAGCUCCUUCAAUUAUCUUAGACGAGUCAUAGCUAUCAUCCAGAGAGACAAAAUGCAGUUGCAAGCAAAUGCAUCGAUCAUUGUUUAAUCUGCUACAAACACAUUAACUCUUGAACAAACGAAUGCGUAAUCACAAACUAAGGUCUUAACACCCCCUUCCGCCGGAACAUUACCCGGGAGGUUGCUGAGGCUGGAUUUAAAGUCUUGAAACACCACAGAUGUCAACCCCUUCGUGAAGAUAUCCGCAAAUUGUGAAGCGCAUGGCGCAUGAAGUAUUCGAUCUUCACCUAGAGCAGGCAAUCCAUGAAACAGUGAAGAUCCAUUUCAAGAUGCUUGGUACAUUGAUAUUGCACUAGGUUUGUGGACAAGUAUGUGGCACUAGUAUUGUCGCAAUAGACCAAUGUUGCUUUCGAGGAUGAAUGAUGGGGAGUUUCGUAUUGGAUCUAGUGAGAAAAAUCGCCAAUGUCGUUGGGCAAACUGAAGUUGGAAAUGCCUAUCGAUCAAUGAGAAGCAAGCAGGCAGAGAAUGGUGCAGCAGUGAAGUCUUGGGCAGCAUGACACCAACCGGGAGAAACCAAAGGAGUAAAUGCAACUAAGUGUUUCAGGAAGUCAACAGAUUUGGUACUUUCACUCGAGGCCAUCUAUACUAGGAUGUUAGAAUGCAGUCGAUGAAAGGGGUGCAUUCAGAUAAUAAAUGACGAUGAUUCCUCAGAAAUACGGCCAAUUAAAUUAACGAGCUGAUACAUUAGGUAAAAACACGCUGUUACACAAAGAGAUACAUUACAAAUUUUCUUGCAACCAAGGGAGACCUUCCUUGGUUCUACUUCAACGAUUUUGUUCACAACAGCAAUAAGAUAGACGUUGCCCCAUUCAUAGUCGCCUUUUUUCGACCCCAUACAUAUACACAUGUUGUUCAAACUACAACAUGCAACGCAAAUUACGACUUGCGGGAUGGAUCCAUUAUGAGGAGACGCUCUGCUACGUUUGUCAUCCAUGGUCUUUGAUCCACAUCAAGGUUAAGGCAUUCCACAGCAAUACAUGCCAAACUAUCAAGAAUGUCCAAAUCUUCUGUUACCGCAAUUUCCUCCUCAAAUAAUGGAGUUGCUUUCUUCUCUUUCUUGUAAGCUUCAAGGAAAUUGUUUACUAAACUACCACCGUCGGAAUGUGUAGCUUUCUUCCUACUAAUAAGCUCCAAGAUGACAACUCCAAAACUGUAGACAUCACUUUUUUCUGUUAGUAGCCCUGUUUGUAGAUAUACCGGAUCCAUAUAACUCAUGUCACCAAUGAUAGAUCCCGUGUGUUGUUUGUCUCUUGCAAUCAACCUUGAUAUGCCGAAGUCUGAGAUCUUUGGCACAUACUUAUCAUCCAAAAGUAUAUUAGCUGGUUUAACAUCGCCAUGUAGAAUCUUGGUAUUGGUUUUCGAGUGCAUAUAAACUAGACCAUCUGCUGAUUCUGCAACAAUACUUAAACGCACACCCAAGUUGAGGGGCACCUUGUUGUUGCCAUGAAGAAUGUCAUCGAGGCUACCGUUGCAGAGAAACUCAUAUACUAGAAUCGGGGCAUCAACUUCUAGGCAACAACCUAUGAGCCUAACGAUGUUCUUGUGGAUGACUUGAGAUUGAAUGAUGACUUCAUUUGCAAAUUGUUCAUUUUCUAGCGCACUACCACUAAUCGGCUUCUUCACUGCGACUAGUUCAUUAUCAAGAAUGCCCUUGUAAACUUCGCCGAAGCCACCUUUUUCCAAUAAAAUUGCUGCUGUUCAAAAUUGGCUUGAGUUUCUCCUUCUCAAACAGUUUUAUGAAUUUUGCAUUCUCUAAUGUACGCCCACCGUUCUUCUCAUAGAAUUCCCUAGAUUUCUUUUUCUCUUUGCGAAGAAGAAUAAGGAAUGAUAUGGCUGCCAUGACAAAAACACCACCUAUUCCACCUACAUGGACACAUAAAUAAAAAUAUUUCAUAUAACUGAAUUUCUAAUAACUUUUCUGUGUGCAGAAGAAAAUAUAAAAAGGGAGCAACACUUUUGAUAACUUGCUUUGUUUUUUCCACCUCAGGGUUACGUGGCUACACGCCAAGACACACUAUCCAAUAGUAAAUAGGGGUUUGUGCCGAGUUCCGAUGUGGGGAUUUGCCCUCACGCUGAUUAAUUCAUUGAUUUGUCAUUAGUGUCACAUAUGAACAUAAGUCUUUUUCCAAAGACAUCCCCGUGAGAAACAGAAUAUUAUCACUGACGAUUUUGUGAACCGUCUGGCUUUAUUGGUCACUAAUAAUACAAGACUAUCACAUAUGACUUUGUGUGAGGAACCGUCUGUGAUAGCUGAGUAGAACCCAAAUCUUAGAACAUCCGAGGCUUACAUCUAGGAGUUUGUUGUUCUCUGUCCACCAUUCUGACUCAUACUUGUUGUACCCUUGCCACAAUAAACACCCAUCCCCACCCCCUUCUGCCUCAUAAAUAAAAAACCAACCCUAUCCAUGCAGCGCCUACUAAAACCAUUGCCACGCUUGUAUAACUCAGAAGUACUUUCUUUUUGAGAGAACAUACAAUUCAGAAGUACUUAAAUUGUAUGUACCGAUCUAGAGAUCUAGAAAACACCUACUCCCUCCGUUCGGAAUUACUUGUCUCGGAAAUGAAUGUAUCUAGAACUAAAAUACGUCUAGAUACAUCCAUUUUCACGACAAGUAAUUCCGAACGGAGGGAGUAUGAGUUUAGUUCUGGGUAUAUCGGGACCUUUAAAUUUGGACUCUGAGACUGAGUUCUGGGCCUCCAAAAUUGUUGGCACCAGUUAACCAGCUGUUUAGCUUUACGACUGUUCCAGAUUGUCAUAUCUUAGUAGGUCAGGCUUAGUAGAGGGUACUAGGUAUAAUAAGAAGAAAAUAUAAAGUGAAGAUAAACAUUAUGUUGCAUUCCUGCCACGGCAACAAUUUUGUUCGUUUUUUGACCUUUUACGGACGCCACCAGAUAGACGAUACCUACCAUUUUUUAUUUUUUUGCUUCGGGAUACCUACCAUGUUCUGUUAGUUAUCCAGGAAUAUGUCUGAGGGGACGCAUGCUGAUUAAGAAACAUUACGUAGAUAUAACAACAUAAUUAUGCACGAACUACAAACAGAGGAAGAAAGGAUAGAUUCAGAUCGUGUACUAAUAGCUACUCCCUCCGUUCUGAAUUACUUGUCUUGGAUUUGUCUAGAUACAUAUGUAUCUAGACUAAUUUGGUGCUAGAUACAUCCGUAUCUAGAUAAAUCUAAGACAAGUAAUUCGGAAGGAGGGAGUAGAUACGAGUAUCUAACAACAGAAACAGUUGUAGCCUAAAUACCCAAAAUCACCCGUGCUGCUGCGGGGAAUUUAUCUGUGCAGGUUCCUUUUAUGCCGUUGCCUUUCAUCCCAGGCUUACAUGGACAGUCAUAGCCUCUCAAGGUGUUUUUGCAGAUCCCGUCACUGGAGCAAGGAUACAAAUUGCGGAGCUUGCACUCAUCGAUGUCU